GCAUUUAAAAAGAAUUGGAUCCAAAAUGUUGUUUGGAAUGCUCUUAAUAAGUUAGUUUGGCAUAUUUGGCUAGUACAUUUGCCUGUCUUCAAAACUAAGAUUACAAAGCCAUGAUAACACUGUGUAAGUGUUUGCUUACUGAGGAAGAAAAGACUUCCAAACACUCGAGAGGGUAACUCAGUACAGAAAUCUGAAGUAUAUUGAGGAAUCUUAAUUUGAAGUGUUUAAAUGGCUUUUUAAUAUUUAAAAAGCCUUCUUAGUGUUUUAUAGUUGCCAAAAAAUACAUGGAGUCUUUACCUUGAAGUUCCUGACAAAUUCUUUUAUUAAAUUUUGACUUUCAUUUUCUCUAGGUUCUGUUCCUACAACAUCUGUGAAGUGUAUUUCUGUAGAUUAAAUUCUGUUUUCCAUUGAAUGUUAUCUUAAUUUCAGAAAAUUUCUGUGCAGGGUUAUUUUAUUAAGCUCAUUUUUUUUUUUUUUUUUUUUUUUUUUGGUGAGAAAGGCUCAGCAGCUGAUAGACUCAGCAACAGGCAGCCAGGAGCUCUGAGGCUCACAGCUGGCAGUCUAGUUCCACUCAGUCUCUACUUGAGAAAUUCUUUCUUUGGAAGUACAGCAGAGGCCUUAGGUGAAUGGCUUGUCUGCUAUGGCAGAGAUUAGAGGUGCUGCCAGACUGCCAUAAGUAUUAGGCAGUAACAGCAGCAGCUGCUUAUAUGCAUGUGAACAGCUGGGGAAUUAAUUUGGUAUGCAUUCUCAGGAGCCACUCAUCUGCUGGCAGAGGUAGCAGAAGAAUGCCCUUAGUGUAAAUCCUCUACAACCAUACACCAAAUGUGCUCCCUGCAUUUCAAAUUCCAUUGUAGAAAGUCUCUGAUAAUCUCACUUAUACCAUGAGCCAUUCCUCAGUAUCUGUCCUCUUCCUGUUAGUGUUCUACAAUUCCUUUCUCCUUAAUUUUUCUCCGCUUUACAAAAUGUCACACAGACAAGUGCAUAAUACUUAAACAAGCUUUUAAAAAUAAUGCUCAUAAAUAGCUUUGGUUCUGUCAUAAUAUUCGUAUUUAUAAACAUUUUAAGUCAAUUCUCUUCUUUUGUUUUCAUUUCAGAAAUAUCCAUGUCCUGAAUAAAAGUUGUGUCUUGAUUAGUUUAUUAUGUAACAAUUUAGUGUGUUUGACAUUUCUAACUUUUAUUUCUAACAUUUGCUUUAUUAUAGAACAAUAAACAUGCAGUGAUUGAUUUUUCUUACUUCAAGUGGAUGAGUGAGCAAGUGACUAAAAUCUUCCGUGAAUUCUUCAGUGUAUGGUGCUUGCCAGUGCAUCUGAGAAUCUAGGGACUUUCUGAAAUAGUACUUCCUUGCUAUGAGGACUGAAGUUGGAUUAGAAUCCUUUUCAAUGAAGAUCAGAUGUCCUGAGUAGAAUUCUUACUAUUGGGUCCUGAAUCUUACAUUAAAUAUUCUCUCAAAUUCCUUGAGGCGUGAGCCACCGUGCCCGGCCUGUCCUCUGUGGUUUUCUGGGCUUAUGUUAAAAUUAUAACUCAAUCACCAGUCUUUAUAAAUUUGCUUUUUUAUAUUUAAACCAAACCUAAUGCUAAUUGUGAUAUGUUAUUUAUUCUCACCUGAUUUGAAUCAUUGGAUUCAAUUAAAUGAGUUUAAUUAUCAUUAAAUAAUUCUAAGAGAAAUAAUGUCUAUUCGGAUGGUGGGAAUUUUCUUUCUACAUGCAGCCCCAUUCUGAAUGAAUGAAAUCAAAUCACGUGAAGAUCAGGGUCCUAGAGUAACUUAAUAUUUUGUACAUUGGUUAUUUGACUCCUCAUUUUUAUAUUACAUGUUAUAUCAAGGGAGGGGGCAUAAAAGAAAUACAAAAAUUGCAGAGGUAUCUGGAAUGUACCUAUUUGUUAAUUCUAUUUGUCAUUUCUUUUGUUUCAUCUUUUGAGUAAUAAGCUGC
rnacentral:lncRNA from 10 species